AAGCAGUUGUGAGCACCGUAAAACCUUACAAAAACUCUUAAAAAACAUCAUGUUCCUCUAAAUUUUUCUUUCUUGCUUAUCUAGCAGGAUGUGCCACCCCUCUUAUCGUGCAAUAUCUCACACGGAUGUCUUCUCGUUCAGAUUUAGCUUCCAUGUGUGGUAUUUGAUCUAGUGCAUAUCACCUGAAGUUGCUAGCAUGGUAAAAGAAGGAAAGGAAAUCCUUGCAGCAAUUUGCCGUGAUCACAAAUGCCACAACUUGCAGCAGAUUGAUAGCGGCAUCUUUCCCUUUCCUAAAGUGGUGUGCUGAUCUGCCUGUAUUUACGGUUAGUUGGUUAAACCUUAUCGCGACCUCAGUGCUUUCUUGUCCUAUCUCCAUUUCUAAUAACAGUGAAAACAGUUCAUAACAAAGAGUGAGCUUAAGAAGAAGUCACAUUUUCAAUGUUAAAAAAAUGGAGAUAGGACAAGAAAGCACAGAGGUCGUGUUAUGGCUCUGCCUGUUACCUUCAAGUGUUAUUCCUUUGUCUUAUGUUGUAGUUGCUCUCAUUGAAUCAAAUGUGUUUGCUGGAAUCUUACUGUUUCUAAUGUGUUGGCUGGAAAUCCUUUUUAUUUUUUUUAAAAACAUUAAUUAUGCUAUUCUGUGAGAGUGGAGAGUAUAAAGAUGCUUACAUAUGUUAUGAUAUUAUUCCUAGAGUGUUCACUCAGUGGUGUGUGAGGUGUGUGUGUGAGCAUGUGCUAAUGGAUAUGGCCCAACAUUAGACAUAUAUAUAUAUAUAUAUGUGUGAGGUGUGUGUGUGAGCAUGUGCUAAUGGAUAUGGCCCAACAUUAGACAUAUAUAUAUAUGUGUGAGGUGUGUGUGUGAGCAUGUGCUAAUGGAUAUGGCCCAACAUUAGACAUAUAUAUAUAUAUAUAUGUGUGAGGUGUGUGUGUGAGCAUGUGCUAAUGGAUAUGGCCCAACAUUAGACAUAUAUAUAUAUAUACGUGUGAGGGUUCUUGUACGCGUAUAUUCAGAACUUCACUUUGUUGCACUUAUAUAUUUGUUUGGGGGGGGGGGGGGGGGGGGACUGUUUCAUUUCCUUAUUUACUCCGAAGAUCUCAUUCCUUCAGGGGUGCUCCGUUAGCUCAAUUGAUAUCAUGCUGAACUUCCGAGCAGAUGGUCCAGGGUUCGAAUCCCAGACUGGGCAUUCUUAAAUUCAGGUCAUUUUGUGGAGUUUUGAAGGUUUUUCACCCAUUUGGGUUGGUCCUGUCAGAGACAGACGUUAAACCAGGAGGUCCCGCUCAUUUAAUAACAUUUAUAUAAUAUAAUAGUGUUGACAGGGGCGUUAAAGCUGUACGCUCUACGCUCAUUCCUUGAGAAUGCUGUGAUGUGUGCAGGAGGUCUGUUUGUCCGUCAGUGCAGACGUUUGUGGGGAAUACGGCGAAUGUUCUGUGAAUGUGUGUUGUUGUUGUUGUUGAUCCAGCAUGCCAUGUAGGGAUAUGUACAUGUUUGCUGCAGUUACUGUAAUGUUCCGUAGAGUGUGUUGUCAGUGUUAAGUCUCGGAGGGAGAAUGUCAACAAAAACUUUUGUUUUUUGCCUCGUUGUCGACGGGUAAAUUUUGAAAUGUGAAAAAUCAUCUGCCCUGUAGGAGGGACAUGUUGCAGUUAGUUACUCCCCAAGCUCGGGCAGGGGUAGGAGGA
rnacentral:lncRNA from 1 species